GACGGACGCUGGCGGCGUGCUUAACACAUGCGAGUCGAACGGAAAGGCCCCAGCUUGCUGGGGUACUCGAGUGGCGAACGGGUGAGUAACACGUGGGUGAUCUGCCCUGCACUCUGGGAUAAGCCUGGGAAACUGGGUCUAAUACCGGAUAGGACCGUGCUUUAGUGUGUGCGGUGGAAAGUUUUUCGGUGCAGGAUGAGCCCGCGGCCUAUCAGCUUGUUGGUGGGGUAAUGGCCUACCAAGGCGGCGACGGGUAGCCGGCCUGAGAGGGUGUACGGCCACAUUGGGACUGAGACACGGCCCAGACUCCUACGGGAGGCAGCAGUGGGGAAUAUUGCACAAUGGGCGCAAGCCUGAUGCAGCGACGCCGCGUGGGGGAUGACGGCCUUCGGGUUGUAAACCCCUUUCGGCAGGGACGAAGCUUUUGUGACGGUACCUGCAUAAGAAGCACCGGCUAACUACGUG
rnacentral:rRNA from 1 species